GUCUUCGUGGCUCAGUUGGCUAGAGCGUUGGUCUCAUAUUAGUAUGACCCAAUUGUAACACAUUGGGAUAUCCAAAGGUCGUGAGUUCGAGCCUCACCGAGGACA